GAUGAACGCUGACAGAAUGCUUAACACAUGCAAGUCAACUUGAAUUUGGGUUUUUAACUUAGGUUUGGGUGGCGGACGGGUGAGUAACGCGUAAAGAACUUGCCUCACAGCUAGGGACAACAUUUGGAAACGAAUGCUAAUACCUAAUAUUAUGAUAAUAGGGCAUCCUAUAAUUAUGAAAGCUAUAAGCGCUGUGAGAGAGCUUUGCGUCCCAUUAGCUAGUUGGAGAGGUAACGGCUCACCAAGGCGAUGAUGGGUAGCCGGCCUGAGAGGGUGAUCGGCCACAAGGGGACUGAGACACGGCCCUUACUCCUACGGGAGGCAGCAGUGGGGAUAUUGGACAAUGGACCGAGAGUCUGAUCCAGCAAUUCUGUGUGCACGAUGAAGUUUUUCGGAAUGUAAAGUGCUUUCAGUUGGGAAGAAACAAAUGACGGUACCAACAGAAGAAGUGACGGCUAAAUACGUG
rnacentral:rRNA from 1 species